rnacentral:rRNA from 1 species
GCUCAGGAUGAACGCUGGCGGCGUGCUUAACACAUGCAAGUCGAACGGUGAAGCAGAGCUUGCUCUGUGGAUCAGUGGCGAACGGGUGAGUAACACGUGAGCAACCUGCCCCUGACUCUGGGAUAAGCGCUGGAAACGGCGUCUAAUACUGGAUACGAGCAAGAACCGCAUGGUUACUUGUUGGAAAGAUUUUUUGGUUGGGGAUGGGCUCGCGGCCUAUCAGCUUGUUGGUGAGGUAAUGGCUCACCAAGGCGUCGACGGGUAGCCGGCCUGAGAGGGUGACCGGCCACACUGGGACUGAGACACGGCCCAGACUCCUACGGGAGGCAGCAGUGGGGAAUAUUGCACAAUGGGCGGAAGCCUGAUGCAGCAACGCCGCGUGAGGGAUGACGGCCUUCGGGUUGUAAACCUCUUUUAGCAGGGAAGAAGCGAAAGUGACG